AUUAAGUUACGUAACGCCGUUACAUGUAACUAGUUACUCCCCAACACUGUAUAGAUAUACAGUAUGAUCAUGAACUAAGAAGACAAAAUAGGGGGCGGAGUUAUCCAUGUAGAAAGGGCGGGACUAUCCCUCAGGCGUCUCAGAUACUGUAAUGAGGAGAAAACGAAAGAAAUGUUCGACUGAAGCAGAUCAACAGGUUAGAGAAAAUAUAAACAGGAGAGAAAUAUAUUUGUAGAUGCGGGAAAAGUUUAAACAGCGUGUCAAACAUUUACUGUAAUGAAAUAAAUACCGAACAUGAGCCGCUCUGAAAUGUGGAAACGCUUCAGCUAAAGCAGCAGAUGUGUUUAUAUGAGGAACAAAGAAGGAUUUUAUUAGUUUGAAUCUACAGAAAGAGAUAAAAAUGGCGACUGCAAGAAAUGAGUUUAAACUCAUUGGUCCCAGUGGUACAGAGGAGUAUAAUCACUCUGCUGUCACUCUCUCGUGUCGUCUGUCUCCUGAAAUCACUGCUGUUAACAUGGAGAUCCGGUGGUUUAAGGAGACAGACUGUGUUUGUGUUUAUAAGAACAGAGAGGUGACAGAGGGGAGAGGUUACAGGGGCAGAGUGAGUCUGGACAUUCAGGAGCUGGAGAGAGGAAACGUCUCCUUACAGCUGAGAGACUGUACAUGGUCAGAUGAUGGAGAUUACCUGUGUCAGGUCACUGAUGGAGACAGAACACAGGAGAUUACAGUAGAGAUGAGAGCUUGCUGGGGCCAGCACCACAGAUACUGCUAGCCUUUUGUUGACAGACCACAAAGCUGAUGUCAGGGUAAAAGUGGUAAAAGUAUAAGUGAUCAUCUGACUUUUCUGAAGAGGAAAGACCUUGCAGACUGUAACAGGACCGGUUGAAGUGAAAAGGAUUCGCAAACUGAUUUCUGCCUUAUCAUUUAUUGUAUCCAUCACCAUAACACAUCCACAUUGAUAACAGACUAUUACGGAGACAGGUAAGGAAAGUAAAAAAAAUAAAUAGUAAUAAAAUAAAAGCUCCAACUUCUCCAGCUGUAUUCCACAGGUAUUGUCUGAAGCCGCACUCUCGACGGUGUACAGAGAGACCUAACACAUCCAAUACUGAGAGAAAUAAAACAGCUUAGAGCAUAUCAGUUCAUAUCCACCUUGUCCUUGACUAUUUAUAUGAAGCCAUGAGACUAUUAUUAUUAUUAUUAUUAUUAUUAUUAUUAUUAUUAUUUAUUUUAUUUUUUACUGGUCUGUAUCUUUUCUAACCCAUGUUGUCCUAAGAAGCACAACUUCAGUUCAUGAAAUAAACAUGUCUCUUGUAUCUAUGGUGGGAUUUCUGGUUUAUGUAUUUUGAUAUAACCUUUACAUACAUCUUAAUAUUGCAGAUGAAUGAUAAUUUAUUUUUAAUGUAAUGAUUUGAAACGUUUAGAUAAGAAGGCAAAAUGUCAGUAUUAUAGAGGAUUAUUGUAUUAUUGUCAGUGGUAUAGAGGAACUUUUCCCUAGCGAGAACACAUAUUUUAUAUAUACAUAUUUACACACAUACAAACACAUAAGCAUAUACACUAUUGUUACGUUCCACAUGUGUUUUGUGUAUAUUAUGUUUUUUUCCUCGCUCCUUUUGUGUUGUUUCUUACUCCGCUUCUAGGUCGGUGUUUAUUGGCUGACUCAACUGUCAAUCAUUUUGACGUCAUGACGCUCUGCCAAUCCACUGAUGCUCCGGCUGUAUUUAAGGCCGUGACGUGAUUGUGUGUGGGGUGCACCACGCCAGUGUACCUCGUGCUCCAACGUGGUCCACAAGUCUCGUGUUCAACACCGUGCUCUCCCGAUGCUUAAUGUGGGGUGGGGAUGUUUUCCCUUAACGUGCCUAACCCUAGGCAUGCUUCAAAACUUUGUGUUUGGAAAAUGAGUACAGUACAGUAAAACGAAUAGACCUGCAACAAGUGGAGAUGAGCAAGCUAUAACAGCUUCAACUCUUUUAGGAAGGCUUUCCACAAGGUUUAGGAGUGUUUUAUGGAAUCUUCCAACAUUGCUCUAGAAGCGCAUUUGUGAGGUCAGGCACUCAUGUUAGAUGAGAAGGCCUGGCUCACAGUCUCUGCUCUAAUUCAUCACUCCAGAGAACAGCUCUGCACUGAAAAAUGUACCAAGACAUUCUUCAGAAAAAGAUCUGCUGCCAUCUACCAGGACCAUGAAGAUGAACCCAGCGUGGACAUUUCAGCAAGACGGUGAUCCCAAACACAAAGCCAAGUAAACUGGUUGCAGAGAAAGAAAUUAAAGCUGCUAGAAUGGCCCAGCCAAUCACCUGACUUGAAUCCAAUUGAAAAUCUAUGGAAAGAACUAAUGGUCAAAGUUCAUAGAAGAGGCCCACGGACCCUUCAAGCUUUCAAGACUGUUUGUGUGAAAGAAUGGGCCAAAAUCACACCUGAUCAAUGUAUGCAACUACUUUCUCCAUACAAGCAGCAUCCUGAAGCAGCAAUUGAGUAAAUGUUCAGAAACAGAACCAGAACGUUUGGGUCCCUCUUUAACUGUUAGCAGUAGGCUCUUUUUUCUUUUCUUCUCAAAUUCACACAUGACGUGUAUAGUUGUAUGUCAUGUGUAGGAUUAUAGUUUCUAAGGUUCAUGAGGUACUGUGAGGCCCUGGAACACUAUUUAAAAUUGUAACAAAAACUAUUACAUUAGAAAAUUGUGGUAUCCCUUAUCCCUAGUGACGAUUGUCUUUGCUGAUUAAUUCUUCUUAUUGUUGAUUAUUAAUAAAACCUUGCUUAAAUGAUAUGGAGAAGGAGAUCAAGAUAAAGUGUAAAAAAUAAAAUUAGGGGUUUCUAUCUUUUUUUUUUUUACCCCCCCAUGCCAAGCUAUUUGCUAGGCAAACGGCCAGACAUGGGUGCUUGGUCAGGUGUGGCACUCACCCAUUACAGGAGAGGUCACUUG